GAUGAACGCUGGCGGCGUGCCUAAUACAUGCAAGUCGAGCGAACGGACGAGAAGCUUGCUUCUCUGAUGUUAGCGGCGGACGGGUGAGUAACACGUGGAUAACCUACCUAUAAGACUGGGAUAACUUCGGGAAACCGUAGCUAAUACCGGAUAAUAUUUUGAACCGCAUGGCUCAAAAGUGAAAGACGGUCUUGCUGUCACUUAUAGAUGGAUCCGCGCUGCAUUAGCUAGUUGGUAAGGUAACGGCUUACCAAGGCAACGAUGCAUAGCCGACCUGAGAGGGUGAUCGGCCACACUGGAACUGAGACACGGUCCAGACUCCUACGGGAGGCAGCAGUAGGGAAUCUUCCGCAAUGGGCGAAAGCCUGACGGAGCAACGCCGCGUGAGUGAUGAAGGUCUUCGGAUCGUAAAACUCUGUUAUUAGGGAAGAACAUAUGUGUAAGUAACUGUGCACAUCUUGACGGUACCUAAUCAGAAAGCCACGGCUAACUACGUGCCAGCAGCCGCGGUAAUACGUAGGUGGCAAGCGUUAUCCGGAAUUAUUGGGCGUAAAGCGCGCGUAGGCGGUUUUUUAAGUCUGAUGUGAAAGCCCACGGCUCAACUGUGGAGGGUCAUUGGAAACUGGAAAACUUGAGUGCAGAAGAGGAAAGUGGAAUUCCAUGUGUAGCGGUGAAAUGCGCAGAGAUAUGGAGGAACACCAGUGGCGAAGGCGACUUUCUGGUCUGUAACUGACGCUGAUGUGCGAAAGCGUGGGGAUCAAACAGGAUUAGAUACCCUGGUAGUCCACGCCGUAAACGAUGAGUGCUAAGUGUUAGGGGGUUUCCGCCCCUUAGUGCUGCAGCUAACGCAUUAAGCACUCCGCCUGGGGAGUACGACCGCAAGGUUGAAACUCAAAGGAAUUGACGGGGACCCGCACAAGCGGUGGAGCAUGUGGUUUAAUUCGAAGCAACGCGAAGAACCUUACCAAAUCUUGACAUCCUUUGACAACUCUAGAGAUAGAGCCUUCCCCUUCGGGGGACAAAGUGACAGGUGGUGCAUGGUUGUCGUCAGCUCGUGUCGUGAGAUGUUGGGUUAAGUCCCGCAACGAGCGCAACCCUUAAGCUUAGUUGCCAUCAUUAAGUUGGGCACUCUAAGUUGACUGCCGGUGACAAACCGGAGGAAGGUGGGGAUGACGUCAAAUCAUCAUGCCCCUUAUGAUUUGGGCUACACACGUGCUACAAUGGACAAUACAAAGGGCAGCGAAACCGCGAGGUCAAGCAAAUCCCAUAAAGUUGUUCUCAGUUCGGAUUGUAGUCUGCAACUCGACUACAUGAAGCUGGAAUCGCUAGUAAUCGUAGAUCAGCAUGCUACGGUGAAUACGUUCCCGGGUCU
rnacentral:rRNA from 1 species